GAUGAAGAACGCAGCGAAAUGCGAUAAGUAAUGUGAAUUGCAGAAUUCAGUGAAUCAUCGAAUCUUUGAACGCACCUUGCGCCCUUUGGCUAUUCCAGAGGGCAUGCCUGUUUGAGUAUCAUGAACACCUCAACUCUCAUGGUUCUGCCAUGAUGAGCUUGGACUUUGGAGGUCUUGCUGGCCCCUGUGGUCAGCUCCUCUCAAAUGGAUCAGCUUGCCAGUGUUUGGUGGCAUCACAGGUGUGAUAACUAUCUACGUUUGUGGUUUUCCACCAGGUAACCUUCAGUGAUGGAGGUUCGCUGGAGCUCAUAAACGUCUCUCCUCAGCGAGGACAGCUUCUUGAAUGUUUGAUCUCAAAUCAGGUAGGGCUACCCGCUGAACUUAAGCAUAUCAAUAAGCGGAGGA
rnacentral:misc_RNA from 1 species